rnacentral:rRNA from 1 species
CGCCUUUCAGAGGGGGAUAACACUUAGAAAUAGGUGCUAAUACCGCAUGACACAGCGUUUUCGCAUGGAGAUGCUGUCAAAGGAGCAAUCCGCUGAAAGAUGGCCUCGCGUCUGAUUAGCUGGUUGGUGAGAUAACAGCCCACCAAGGCGACGAUCAGUAGCCGGACUGAGAGGUUGAACGGCCACAUUGGGACUGAGACACGGCCCAG